GAGUUUGAUCAUGGCUCAGAACGAACGCUGGCGGCAGGCUUAACACAUGCAAGUCGAACGGUUGUAGCAAUACAGCAGUGGCAGACGGGUGAGUAACACGUGGGAACCUUCCUAGGGGUACGGAACAACUCAGGGAAACUUGAGCUAAUACCGUAUACGUCCGUGAGGAGAAAGAUUUAUCGCCCUUAGACGGGCCCGCGUCGGAUUAGCUAGUUGGUGGGUAACGGCCUACCAAGGCGACGAUCCGUAGCUGAUCUUAGAGGAUGAUCAGCCACACUGGGACUGAGACACGGCCCAGACUCCUACGGGAGGCAGCAGUGGGGAAUCUUGGACAAUGGGCGCAAGCCUGAUCCAGCCAUGCCGCGUGAGUGAAGAAGGUCUUCGGAUUGUAAAGCUCUUUUGCCAGGGACGAUAAUGACGGUACCUGGAGAAUAAGCCCCGGCAAACUUCGUG
rnacentral:rRNA from 1 species